UCCCUGGUGGCUCAGCUGUAAAGAAUUUGCCUGCAAUGCAGGAGAUGCAGGUUCGAUCCCUGGCUCGGGAA
rnacentral:tRNA from 1 species